rnacentral:snRNA from 1 species
GUGCUUGCUUCGGCAGCACAUGUACUAACACUGAAAAGA